GUAGUGAGUUAUUGCGCUUCAGAGCAGCAGCACCGCUUCUGAGGAUGCGGUGACAGCAUCAGUCACAUUUCUAGUAGAAAACGAAAGAUCAGUCUGUCUGAGAGUCAUUUGGAUUUCGCGAGAGUUUGAUCCGAGCGCUUUUACGUCUCCUUCCGCUUGAUGAAUACACCCCCUUUGUCAACCUGCUGGGGGCCUAAAAGUGAAGCAGCAGCCGGCUUUAUGAAUGGGGAUGCUCGUUUCACAAGCUGACUGCAACUGAGGAGCAUCAAUAUUCCUUUCAAGUUCUCCAAAAGGGAGUGUAUUCAAGAUUUAGAAGCUCUUUGUGACACCUUUGUGCAAAACAAAAUUGCUAGUCAGUCACCAUGCCAAUCCUAAAACAGCUAGUGUCUGGCUCCUCUCAGACCAAGCGUCGCUCACGCAUGGACCUGACCAGGGAGAUGAUCAGUGCUCCGCUGGGUGACUUCCGCCACACCAUGCAUGUAGGUCGCAGCGGUGAUGCAUUCGGAGACACCUCCUUCCUCAGCACCCGCUCAGGAGAACCUCCCCCUGAGAACACAUUUUUCCCCCGCUCUCCCCGGCCCGGCCUCCUGUCUCGCACCUUCAGGAGCAGCAAACGCUCCCAGUCGGUGACCAGAGUGGACAACGCCCUGGUGACCCCCGGUGGGUCCCCCACCUAUGUGAAGAACGCCAUGUCUCUGCCGUUCCUCAAUGAUGAAGACAGAGGGGACAGUAUGGUGGCAAAGAGCUUGUCCUCUAGUCCUUUAAAACAACACGGGGAGGUGGAUGAGAGAGGCGCCGCUGCAGCUGCUCACAUCCUGGAGCUGGAAGAGCGGCGCUUUGGUGAGCUGACUGAGCUCCCAGAGAGCUCCCACCACUACGGAGGCGGCAUGAAGCACGCCGAAUCAGUAAUGUCUUUCCAUGUCGACUUGGGACCAUCCAUGCUGGGAGACAUCCUUGGGGUCAUGGAGAAGGAGGAAGAUGAUCUCGGCUAUGAGGAGGGCAAGAGCAGCGAGGGCCGUGCCUCGCCACCUCUCAGCACCCACGGUGAGGAAGAGGAUAGUGUGGAGAGAGAAAAAGAUGAGGAUGCAGAGGAGGAGAUGGAGGCAGAGGAGGAAGCAGCAGAACCUCAGCAGCAGGCCUCUGUGCGUCCAGCCAGCUCUGUAGAUCUGGGGCCUGAGAAUGGAGGGCCCUACACCCCAGAGUACACCCCCGAGACUCGGCCUAAACACUUGCAGCAUCUAGACAGCUGCUCCAUGUCCAGCUCUGGCUCUGCUGCCUUGGAUGAGAAACCAAACAGCCAGACCUAUGCAGGAGACACAGAUAGCGCCACCUUCAGUGCCCCGCCAGAGGAAGAGAGCAACUUCUCUUCUUUCUUGGAGGAUGAAGAUGAUGAGAUUCGCGUAUGAGAUUCCAAAGCCUUGAAAAAAAAAAAAAAUAGCACAGAGCUGUGGAAGGGGUUUAUGUGAAGCUUGCAAGUCCUUUGACAGUGUGGAUUUGCACUUGAACGGAAAUAAGACACUUUUGUCGGGUACUGUGGGAAUGGGUCUGUGAAAAUGACGGAGGACUCUAACUUUGUAGGUCUGCAAGGAGAGAGUGACUGCUCCUUUUGGAGGAGCCCAAACUCCAUCUGUCAGAGAGCCUCACCCUCCACUGUCUGUCAAUCCGUCUCUCCCUUUUGAAUGCUGAGGGAACUGACAUGGAAGAGCAGCCACUCUUUGAAUAUGGAACAUUCCAGAAACAGGCUGAGGUUUUCCUCCAGGAGUGCAAGACACAGCACUACGGAUAUUGGUGUUAACAGGAGCAGCGAACAUAAACAUUCCAGUACCCGGUGUUGACCUCUUGACCUCUAAACCCUGGAACUGCAGGGCCGGCAGCAGAAGACCACACACACAUGAUGGGAGGGGGAGCGGGGAGGACGUGGAAUGUCUCCGGUGUCCUUGCCUUGAAGAGCUUAAGAUGCCUGUGCUGAAGACUGUGAAAAAUUAGCCCAUCCUCUCCUAACAUCAGCAGUGUUUCCCCGCUCUGGGAUUGUUGCAGGUAUGUCA